CUUACUAUGAUGGCUACUCGGAAACUGAGAAUAUACCCAACUGGACCACAGUGCCUGGCAAUGGCCGUGUGGUUGAAAUGGUUUAUCGCCGUAGGAUAGGACUGCGGCCUAUCAGCUUGUGGUGAGGUAAUGGCCCACCAAGACUAUAACAGGUACGGGCUCUGAGAGGAGGGCCCGGGAUGGUACUGAGACCGGACCCAGGCCCUAUGGGGCGCAGCAGGCGAGAAACCUUUGCAAUGUGCGAAAGC
rnacentral:rRNA from 1 species